UACGGAGGGUGCAAACGUUGCUCGGAAUCAUUGGGCGUAAAGCGCACGUAGGCGGCCUGUUAAGUCGGGUGUGAAAGCCCUGGGCUCAACCCAGGAAGUGCACUCGAAACUGGCGGGCUUGAAUAUGGAAGAGGGUCGCGGAAUUCCCGGUGUAGAGGUGAAAUGCGCAGAUAUCAGGAGGAACACCAAUUGCGAAGGCAGCUCGCUGGGACGUAACUGACGCUGAGACGCGAAAGCGUGGGGAGCAAACAGG
rnacentral:rRNA from 1 species